rnacentral:rRNA from 1 species
CCUACGGGUGGCUGCAGUGAGGAAUAUUGGUCAAUGGACGCAAGUCUGAACCAGCGAUGCCGCGUGCAGGAAGACGGCUCUAUGAGUUGUAACCUGCUUUUGUACGGGGGUAAAGUGAGAUACGCGUACCUGUCUGAAAGUACCGUAUGACUACGGAUCGGCUAACUCCGUGCCAGCAGCCGCGGUAAUACGGAGGAUUCAAGCGUUAUCCGGAUUUAUUGGGUUUAAAGGGUGCGUAGACGGUUGGAGAAGUUAGAGGUGAAAGCCCGAGGCUCAACCGUGGAAUUGCAGCUGAUACUGGCAGGCUAGAGAGCAGUUGCGGUAGGCGGAAUGUAUGGUGUAGCGGUGAAAUGCUUAGAGAUCAGGAAGAACACCGAUUGCGAAGGCAGCUUACUAAGCUGCUACUGACGUUGAGGCGCGAAAGCGUGGGGAGCAAACAGGAUUAGAUACCCUGGUAGUC